CGCCAAAUCCAUCCCCCACCAAUUCUAGAUCCACCAUCAACAGCGCCCGAUCCACCACCGUUGUCGCCAAUAAAACCACCCCAACAUCACCAUGGAAGCCAACAACAAAAACCACCACCAACAACAAAAACCACCUCAAAAACUCCAUUCAUGUUGUACACCGGAUUGCAAAUUUCCCCAGAUUUGACACUAGAUCGCUACCUAAAACUCUAACCCAAUCUUCCUCAGAUUCGGCACCAGAUCGUGAUCCAAAACAUUGCUCAUGCUGGGCAGGGGCGUGGCAACCAUGGAUGCACUUGUGACCAUGGCUAUGGGCUCAGAUUUGAUGGUGAGGGAAGAAGAUAAAGAGAUGGUAAGAGAAGAGAGAAGAAAAAGGCACGAGGUUUUAGAGAGAUGAAUAAUGGAGAAAUAUAGCCCUUAUUUGAGUCUCAUUCUUUUGAUAAGAAUGAAUUUUUGAUUAGUGCAUUAACGAAAAAUGGGUGGUUAAAAAAUAAGAUUUUUUUUUGAAUUUGUGUGUAAUAUUAUUUUAUUGAAUAAUGG
rnacentral:lncRNA from 1 species